rnacentral:lncRNA from 1 species
AGGGUCCACAAUCAUAUUUAAGACAUGGAAAUGCUGAAAGUUUACCCCAUUUCCCCCAAUAAUUCUUUUCUCCUUCCUCUCUCUUCUCUCCCUAUUCUCUUCCCCUAAUCUAGCCACCCGCCACCCAUCUUUGCCGGCCAAAAAUCGUUGUCCCCACUGGCCGGUGUCCAAACCACCCCAAAAUCGUACUAUACAAUCACCUUAACCUCCUCUUUCAAAAUUUCCAACCCAAAUCCCUCAAAACUCGCUCAGAUUCCAUGAUUUUUAGAUCUAUAAAACCUUAGCCACAUCCCUUUUUGCCCAAAUUCGUGAAGCUCCGACCAGCACCACCAUACCAUACAUACAUGAAUGGAUAGAGCGUCUUCUACUCUAUCUUUUCCCACCAGUUUGACCCUGAACUCCAACCACCGGAAUCUAAUGACCUUUCAGGCGACUACCCCUGACCGCUGCAACUGCCUCUCCUUUUUGCCUCUGGCCUCCCGUAGGUUUAUACUAUAGAUAAUACCAAAAUAAUAUUACGGUUCAUCGGAAUUUAUGGCUUUGGUGUAUAUCAACAAUAAAAACACACCCGAGCUCGAACCACUGCCUAUCAUUAUUGUUUGCCAUUGCCCGGGUACUCGAGUUUGGUAAAAUUCCUAAUCCCUUCUCUUUGACUUAAAUUUUCUGUUUUUCUUAUUUGAUUUGUUGGUUUGUUUAGGUUAAAGUUCUGGUAAUGAUCUAUCCACUAUUUUGUAUAGUAUUAUUUCUAAUUUUGACGCUGGUUUAGUUUUGUUGUGAUUAACAACUUGACUAUAAUACGUGUUUUUCCUAAUCAUAGAUUUUUAUCUUUUCCCUUGGAUUGAUCAUAUAAACAUUAGUUUGAUUGGCUAAGUUGAAUGCUGAAUUUUCUGCUUUUACAUUGGUUUGAAUUGGUUAGUUUGUGAAUGAUAAAAGGUAAAUGAUGAAGUAGAGUACAUGUUUGGUUUCUUUUACUAUGUUGGAGUUGUUGGGAGUACAUCUACUCCUUGCUUGUGUCUGAAAUUGGAGAAGAGGACAGUCUUUUCUCACUCAUUUGGAUAAAUUUUUGUUUUAACUCAUAGUAUAAUCCCUAUGGCCUUCCUCUCCUACAAAAGAAGGGUCUUUAUUCACUUUAAUAGGAGGGGAGGAAAAACUUUCAGCAACUAUGUUCCUCUUGGAAAUAAUUUAGAAAAGUCUUUAGGUUCUCUUUUCUAUUAAAGAGUUUCUGGGUUCUAGUGUUUUAAGUUUUCUGUUGUUUGUUGUACGUUGGCUGCUUGUUACUGAUUUUUCAUAGCUGGGUUUCCAAAAGUUUUGUGCAACUUUGAGUUCACCAUCGCUGCUUUUGCUUUGAAUAUGCAAUCUAGGUAUAUGCUUGACCUUCUAAUUUAGAAACUUUAUUGUAAUGAAUUAUAUUAAGCAAAUUUUUGGUCCAAUAAAUGAAGCAUGAAGUUUAUAGAGUUUAUUUGAGUGUUUCGGGCUCUUUUAAUAUCUAUCUCAUGUUUACAAAUGUUUGAUAUGUCCAUUGUGUUAGAAUGGUACAUUUAUGUGUACAUUUGUUCGGAUUUUGAAGAUUGUAAUAUUCCAUUUAGUAUAGUAAUUGCUCGACAAGAUUCUUUCUCCUGAAAAUUCUCACUAAAAUUAUAUAAUUACAUGAAAAAUAAAAGUGAACUUCUAUUCUCAAGGAUCCCUGUCUUUACUUACUUUUCUUUUUUACUUCAUGCGCUUAAUCCAUUCAAAAGGAUUUAAGUUCUAAGAUAGUUUGUUGAGUAUUUAGAUUAAGAAAAAAUAAUAAAUAAAUUCUCAUGUCAUGAUGUUAUGGUUAUUUUAUGUCUACUUAUAAUAUUUUGCAGGAAAGUUCACCGUGAUUGUCAUCAAUUAGGUCUAACUUUAACUAGAAGAUAUUUGUGAAAUAUCUCGCCAUGGUUUUGUUGAUAGUAUUAGUUAACUCAUGAAAUUUUUUUUUUACUUUAAACUUAAUAGUAAUUCAAAUACAAAAUAAAAAGAGAGAGGAAACAAUGGGAAAUUAUUUUGUUGCACUUUGGGAAUGAAAGUGAGUUUUAAAGUGACUGGGAGCUUUUGAGCUAAUUGAGCUAAGUUAAUGAACUUGAACCCGCCAAGCAGAAAAUAGUGAGAUAGUUGGCCCCAAUUCUAAAUGCAAGGAGCUUGUUUAUCUACCACUUUAGUAUAAACACAUUUAUUCAUUUUAACUGAAGAAAAAUUAUCUCUUAGUAAGACUUGUUUAAAUUUCUUAUAUUACUGCGUAGGAGCUUGUUUAAGGCCAUAAAGAGAUUUAAUUAAAUUACAAACUUUAUUUUUUUGUCCAGGAAUAACACAGCCUUCAGGUUGAACCAUAUAAAUCUCUUCUUCUAAAUCACCAUUCAAAAAAGCAUUUUUGACAUCCAUUUGGUGGAUAAAAAACUUAAGGAUUGAAGGUAAGGCAAUUAAAACUCGAAUAGAAGAAAUUCUAGUCACUAGUGCAAAUGUAUUAAAAUAGUCUAUAUUUUGUUUUUGAGAAAAUCCUUUUGCUACAAACCGAGCUUUAUAUUUAUCUAAAGAUCCAUCGGGAUUAAAUUUCUUUUUGAAAAUCCAUUUACAACCAAUAGGCUUUGCACCAGGAGGUAAUUCAGUCAAAAUCUAUGUGUUAUUUUUCUUAACAUAAUCAGUUUCAACUUUUAUUGCCUCUUUCCAAUAUUUAGCAUCUGAAGAAGAUAUAACUUCAAAAAUUUGAUGGUUCAUUAUCGACAAGAAAAGUUUGAAAAUCGUUUUCAUAAGAAAAAUAUUCUUUCCUAGGCCUUGUACUUCUUCUCAGUUCCACAUUAGAGAUAAUUUCACUAUUUGUUUUAACAGGUGUAUGAGAAAUUUUAUCAGAUAGCGGAAACAUAUGUUCAAACAAUUCUGCAUUCUUUGCGCGAUCAAGCACAUCACUUUUUAAAACAAGAAAUCUAUAUGCAGCACUAUGUUCAACAUAUCCAAUAAGCAUGUGGUCAGCAGUUUUAGAACCUAUUUUUCUCUUUUUAGGUUCAGGCAAAAGAACUUUAGCAAGGCACCCCCACACUUUUAAAUAUUUCAAACUAGGUUUAUAGCCCCUCCAUAAUUCAUAUGGAGUUUUGUCAGUUCUUCUUUGUGGUAUUCUAUUUUGUAAGUGACAUGCAAAUAAAAUAGCUUCACCCCACAAGUUAUCAGGAGCGUUAGAACUAACUAAUAUAGAGUUCAUCAUCUCUUUCAAUGUUUUAUUUUCCCUUUUAGCUACUCCAUUUGACUCAGGUAAAUAAGGCGGAGUUACUUCAUGAAUAACUCCAUUGUUUUCACAAAAUUUUAUUUAAAGAUAUAUAUUCUCCACCUCUAUCUGAUCUAAUUCUUUUGAUUUUUCUACUAAGUUGAUUUUCAACCUCAGUUUUAUAAGAAAUAAAAGCAUUAAAAGCACCAUAUUUACUUCUAAGCAAAUACAACUUAGUAUAUCUAGAAAAAUCAUCAAUAAAAAUCAUAUAAUAUCUUUUACCACCUCUAGUCAUAGUCUGCUUUAAGUCGCCUAAAUCAGCGUAAAUUAAAGAUAACAAUUCAGUUUCUCUGUUUACGGAAAAACGGGUAUUUCUAGUACUUUUAGCUUCAAUACAUAUUUCACACUUGUUAAUAUUAUUUAACUCCAAACCAGAUGUUAAUCCUAGUCACUCCAUUUUCUUUAUAUACGCGACAUUAAUAUGUACUAGUCUAGCAUGCCAUAAAGAAAUAGAUUCAACCAUAUAAGCAGAAGAAGAUGUAAUUUUAUUGUUAGUAUCGGAAAUACUAAGCACAAAUAAACCAUGGUUACAAUAUUCAUUGCCCACAAAAAUAUUAUUUUUGUUCAAUACGACUUCAUUAUUUUCAAAUGAAACCUUCACUCCAACUUUUCCUAAUAACCCCACAGAAACCAAAUUGGUUUGGAUAUUAGGAAUAUGUAAUACAUCACUCAAUGCUAGAGUUUUACCAGAUGUUAGUUUGAAAAAAAAAUUUCCUUUCCCAAGAACACGAGAUGUUCUUGAGUCACAAAAAUAAAUAAAUUCUUCUCCUUUCUCAAUUUGGGCACAGAUGUGCCUAGUAGCACUAGAGUCUAUCACUCAAUCUCUCAUACUGGCCACAUUAUUUAUUUAGGAAAUGAUCGCAACAAUUAUAUUAUCCUCUUUGGUCAAAUUUAAUUUUGACUUAGCGAGAUUGUCAUAUAUCUCAAUUCUAUUAUUGCAUUGAGGUGCAUUUUUCUUGAAGGUUUUAAUAUUAGCAUUAGAUAUGUAACCAUUUCUGUUCACAUUAGUAUGACUGAUGGUUUGGAUGUACAGACUUGUUAUCUAUUACGGAAGUUUGUAGGAGCGUGCCCCAUGGGAAGGUUGUGUAAGUGUGGCAUGUAGUGACUUGUCAUACAUGUAUUUGGACAUUAGUGGUUGCCAAAGUUGUGGAUGCAAUAACAUAUUUGCAACACCAUGGAUAUCUGGCAGGACAGCUGGAACAUUAGCAGUAGAGACAACACCAGAAUUGGUAGCAACAUCAAAAAUUUCUGCGGUAGUAUUACUUGCCAUAGUUUCUUAGAUUGUAGGGAAAUGACACCGAAAAUAAUAAUAAUAAUAAUACUGCAAUAAUAUUAUUUGUGAACGGAUACAUGGACUGGCUUGAGUUGUGCUAGGCACUGUUCUAAGAAACUAUUUCAGUAAUGUGAAAUGUUUCUCUAGGAUUAAACAAGCAUACCUCUAUUAGGGAGGAUACAGGAAUCAACAAAGUUAAACAAUAUACAAAUCCAGCUAAAAGGAAAAAGGAAGACCAACUAAAUGUGUAAUGUUAAUUAAAUAUUAUAGAAAAUAAAUUGAAAGUAAGAAGAGAGAGACGUAUGAGAGAAAGA